rnacentral:rRNA from 1 species
CCUACGGGUGGCAGCAGUGAGGAAUAUUGGUCAAUGGACGAGAGUCUGAACCAGCCAAGUAGCGUGAAGGAUGACUGCCCUAUGGGUUGUAAACUUCUUUUAUAUGGGAAUAAAAUGUUCCACGUGUGGGAUUUUGUAUGUACCAUAUGAAUAAGGAUCGGCUAACUCCGUGCCAGCAGCCGCGGUAAUACGGAGGAUCCGAGCGUUAUCCGGAUUUAUUGGGUUUAAAGGGAGCGUAGGCGGGGAUGCAAGUUGGGUGUCAAAACUACCGGCUCAACCGUAAAAUUGCAAUUGAUACUGGCAGUCUUGAGUACAGUUGAGGUAGGCGGAAUUCGUGGUGUAGCGGUGAAAUGCUUAGAUAUCACGAAGAACUCCGAUUGCGAAGGCAGCUUACUAAACUGCCACUGACAUUGAUGCUCGAAAGUGUGGGUAUCAAACAGGAUUAGAUACCCGAGUAGUC